UACGAAGGGGGCUAGCGUUGUUCGGAUUUACUGGGCGUAAAGCGCACGUAGGCGGAUACUUAAGUCAGGGGUGAAAUCCUGGAGCUCAACUCCAGAACUGCCUUUGAUACUGGGUAUCUCGAGUCCGGAAGAGGUGAGUGGAACUCCUAGUGUAGAGGUGGAAUUCGUAGAUAUUAGGAAGAACACCAGUGGCGAAGGCGGCUCACUGGUCCGGUACUGACGCUGAGGUGGCGAAAAGC
rnacentral:rRNA from 1 species